rnacentral:rRNA from 1 species
UACGAAGGGGGCUAGCGUUGUUCGGAAUCACUGGGCGUAAAGCGCACGUAGGCGGCUUUGUAAGUCAGAGGUGAAAUCCCGGGGCUCAACUCCGGAACUGCCUUUGAGACUGCAUCGCUUGAAUCCAGGAGAGGUGAGUGGAAUUCCGAGUGUAGAGGUGAAAAUUCGUAGAUAUUCGCAAGAACACCAGUGGCGAAGGCG